rnacentral:lncRNA from 1 species
UUUGGUGGUCGGAAAUUGCUCCGGUACAGCAACGGGUGGCGGCGGUCGGCUCCCCGGCGGCUGGGCUGUCUUCUCCGGCGAGGGGCUCUGGUGGCUAGGGUUUGGGUUUGGGUGCGGAUGAGGUUAUUUAUACUCAUCCGUUUUUGAUAUGGGUAAUCCAUCACUUUUAAUUUAAACCGUUCGAUCACAAUUAAAUAGGGAGCGAAUCUGGACCGUUCAUCGCGAUUCAAUC